rnacentral:rRNA from 1 species
GGAUGAACGCUGGCGGCGUGCCUAAUACAUGCAAGUCGAGCGAACAGACGAGGAGCUUGCUCCUCUGACGUUAGCGGCGGACGGGUGAGUAACACGUGGAUAACCUACCUAUAAGACUGGGAUAACUUCGGGAAACCGGAGCUAAUACCGGAUAAUAUAUUGAACCGCAUGGUUCAAUAGUGAAAGACGGUUUUGCUGUCACUUAUAGAUGGAUCCGCGCCGCAUUAGCUAGUUGGUAAGGUAACGGCUUACCAAGGCAACGACGCGUAGCCGACCUGAGAGGGUGAUCGGCCACACUGGAACUGAGACACGGUCCAGACUCCUACGGGAGGCAGCAGUAGGGAAUCUUCCGCAAUGGGCGAAAGCCUGACGGAGCAACGCCGCGUGAGUGAUGAAGGUCUUCGGAUCGUAAAACUCUGUUAUUAGGGAAGAACAAAUGUGUAAGUAACUAUGCACGUCUUGACGGUACCUAAUCAGAAAGCCACGGCUAACUACGUG